rnacentral:sRNA from 1 species
GCUAGAAUGGGUACUAGGAAAAAAGUUCAUGCAUUUGUCCGUGUCAGACCCACCGAUGACUUUGCUCAUGAAAUGAUCAGAUACGGAGAUGACAAAAGAAGCAUUGAUAUUCACUUAAAAAAAGACAUUCGGAGAGGAGUUGUCAAUAACCAACAGACAGACUGGUCGUUUAAGUUGGAUGGAGUUCUUCACGAUGCCUCCCAGGACUUGGUUUAUGAGACAGUUGCAAAGGAUGUGGUUUCUCAGGCCCUCGAUGGCUAUAAUGGUUUUUAGGAUGAUCGAAGAACGCCCCACACAUGCCAUCACUGUGCGUGUUUCCUACUUGGAAAUCUAUAAUGAGAGCCUGUUUGAUCUCCUGUCCACUCUGCCCUAUGUUGGACCCUCAGUCACACCAAUGACCAUCGUGGAAAACCCCCAAGGAGUCUUCAUUAAGGGCUUGUCAGUUCACCUCACAAGUCAGGAGGAGGAUGCAUUCAGCCUCCUUUUUGAGGGUGAGACCAACAGGAUUAUAGCCUCCCACACUAUGAACAAAAACUCUUCCAGAUCACACUGCAUUUUCACCAUCUACAUAGAGGCCCAUUCCCGGACCUUAUCAGAGGAAAAGUACAUCACUUCCAAAAUUAACUUGGUGGAUCUGGCAGGCUCAGAGAGGCUGGGGAAGUCUGGGCCCAAGAUGGAAUACAAUCGCAUGACAUUGAAAGAAGACCCUGGUUCUGGGAAGGAGGCGCUGACCUGACCACAGACUUAUAGCAUUUCUCCAGACCAGGAAGACUGCUAUUCUUAGUGGGGCAGCUGCUUUAUUCCAUCCAAAGUGGAACUGACCUUUGCUUUGUAGUCUAAGGGCCAAGU